UCAUGCACGAGUCAUUAUGAUCUAUUUUUGCCUUUCAAGUACUAAAAUUGGCUCUUUCAUUCCACUUUGAAGAUAAGACCCGAAAGUAACAACAGUGCUACGUUGAUUUAGGGCUUUCUUUUGGUUUACACGUUGAAUUUUCUCCUUACAUCUUGUUAUUUCACGAUGGAGUUGGAGUUUUCUAUUGAGUGAGUUGUAUGUGAAGCCUAAAACAUCUCUGUUACAUCAUAAAGUAGCAGUUAUAUAAAUAGUUUUCAGAUAUGCAUCUCUUUGCAUCUUCUGUUAUGAGGAUCUUCAUUCUUGGUCUUUCAGUUUCAGAAAAUUGAAGAUCUUUUUCAAAGGAAAGAACAAAUUAGAUCUGGCCUUGAUAGCAUGUGAUAUCUCUCUGUGCAUGCAGUAUAAGAAGAUCAGGGCAAGUUUGAGGCUCCAAUCCCAUCUCAAGAGAACUUCAUUUUGCCAAAUUAAGUGAUGAGUGGUGAUCCUGGUAUUUCAGCAUUUCCAGAGGCUGAUAACAUGUUCUCCUGGGUUGGUACGAUAAAUGGUGGAAAAAAUACUGUUUAUGAGGGAUUGGUAUAUAAACUUUCUUUGCGUUUCCCAACAGAGUAUCCGUUCAAGCCUCCUCAUGUGAAAUUUGAGACAGAUUGCUACCAUCCAAAUAUUGACCAGCUAGGAAACAUCUGACUUGAUAUUCUUCAGGAUAAAUGGUCAUCAACAUAUGGCGUUUGAACUGUUCUUUUAUCUUAUCAGAGCCUUUUGGGAGAACUUAAGAAGAAUAUGCUAAAGCAUUAUAAGGAUGCUGGUGGUCAAUAAUUUUAGAUUCCAGCAUGAUGCCAUCAAUUUAACAAAUUAUUCUUUUUAUAUGAUGCCAUCAAUUGUUUGAAGAUGUUAUCUAGGUCAUUUUUUCAUGGAAUUUAUAAUAGCUUGGAAGCUGCAAAUGGGAGCAUAUAUGUGGAAAUUCAGAGAAUCUUGUAAAGAAAUCAAGAAAAAUCUGUGAAAGAUAUGUUUGAUCGCUUGACUUGUGAACAUGUUAUAGAACAAAUAGAUGGAACUACACAGAAGAUCAAAUUGAUUCGGUAGCAGGAUCGCCACCCCCCCUCUGCAUGGACAAUGGUGGCAUUAUAUAAUAUAUAAUAUCAGUAAACAAAGCAAUGAUUCAUCCAAGAACAAUAACCCUAAGGUUCCUGACAAAGGUUUGUAGGCUAAAAACAAGAAGAUUGUCAUAAAUAAUAGACAUGCACAUCAAGAGCGGACCUUAAAGAUGUUUGGAAGGGCAUGAUAUAAAAGAAAGACAACGUUUGACAGUCCAUUUAUUAGGUAUCUAAGGAGAUGCAACGAAAAUGAAGCCCUAGAUUAUAAGGAUCAACAUUCUAAAGGAAUAAAAGUUCUUAGAGAUCACAUGGACAGUGAUAAGACUAAGAUAAUAGUCAUGGACAGAGGUCUCUUGCUCACCAAAAGAUAGAAGCCAAAGAUCAAUGGCAAAAGCUUUUAGAGUAAAAUAUAAACAUUAUAUGUCAUUAUGGCAGUGGUAGAACAAAAAUACAAUCCUAUUGCUAGUGUGAAUGACCAAUUUGAACUUGGUUACAA